rnacentral:snRNA from 1 species
GCAUAUAAUCAAGACGUACAUAUACUAAAAUUGGAACGAUACAGAGAAGAUUAGCGUGGCCCCUGCGCAAAAUCGUGAAGCGUUCCAUAUUUUU